AACGAACGCUGGCGGCAGGCUUAACACAUGCAAGUCGAACGCACCUUCGGGUGAGUGGCGCACGGGUGAGUAACGCGUGGGAAUGUACCCUUUAGUACGGAAUAGCCUCGGGAAACUGGGAUUAAUACCGUAUACGCCCUUCGGGGGAAAGAUUUAUCGCUAAAGGAUCAGCCCGCGUGUGAUUAGAUUGUUGGUGGGGUAACGGCCUACCAAGUCGACGAUCUCUAGCUGGUCUGAGAGGAUGAUCAGCCACACUGGUACUGAGACACGGACCAGACUCCUACGGGAGGCAGCAGUGGGGAAUAUUGGUCAAUGGGGGCAACCCUGAACCAGCCAUGCCGCGUGAGUGAUGAAGGCCUUAGGGUUGUAAAGCUCUUUUAUGAGGGAAGAUGAAGACGGUACCUCAAGAAUAAGCCCCGGCUAACUUCGUGCCAGCCGCCGCCGUAA
rnacentral:rRNA from 1 species